AAGCAGGAGAGUUUAACCGAGGUAGCGUGGGACGCGUGAGGGGCGGACUCCCAAAGGGGAAAGAGCCAGUGUUAUUCCCCACCAUUAGGGAAACCCUGGAAACGGGUUUAAACAGGAAGGGCUUCGGAUGCCAUGGUUGGGGUGAAAACUUUGGCGGGUGGGAAGGCCCACCGCCCUUCAGGUUGUUGGUGGGUGAUGCCUACGAGGCGAGGACGGUUACGGGCCUGAAAGGUUUCCGGCCCCAAUGGGAUUGAGAUCCGCCCAAGCUCCUACGGGAGGCAGCAGUGGGGAAUAUUGCACAAUGGGCGCAACCCUGAUGCAGCGACGCCGCAUGAGGGAUGACGCCUUCUGGGUUGUAAACCUCUUUCAAUAGGGACGAAGCGCAAGUGACGGUACCUAUAGAAGAAGCACCGGCCAACUACGUGCCAGCAGCCGCGGUAAUACGUAGGGUGCGAGCGUUGUCCGGAAUUACUGGGCGUAAAGAGCUCGUAGGUGGUUUGUCGCGUUGUUCGUGAAAACUCACAGCUUAACUGUGGGCGUGCGGGCGAUACGGGCAGACUGGAGUACUGCAGGGGAGACUGGAAUUCCUGGUGUAGCGGUGGAAUGCGCAGAUAUCAGGAGGAACACCGGUGGCGAAGGCGGGUCUCUGGGCAGUAACUGACGCUGAGGAGCGAAAGCGUGGGGAGCGAACAGGAUUAGAUACCCUGGUAGUCCACGCCGUAAACGGUGGGUACUAGGUGUGGGUUUCCUUCCUUGGGAUCCGUGCCGUAGCUAACGCAUUAAGUACCCCGCCUGGGGAGUACGGCCGCAAGGCUAAAACUCAAAGGAAUUGACGGGGGCCCGCACAAGCGGCGGAGCAUGUGGAUUAAUUCGAUGCAACGCGAAGAACCUUACCUGGGUUUGACAUGCACAGGACGCCGGCAGAGAUGUCGGUUCCCUUGUGGCCUGUGUGCAGGUGGUGCAUGGCUGUCGUCAGCUCGUGUCGUGAGAUGUUGGGUUAAGUCCCGCAACGAGCGCAACCCUUGUCCUAUGUUGCCAGCGCGUAAUGGCGGGGACUCGUAGGAGACUGCCGGGGUCAACUCGGAGGAAGGUGGGGAUGACGUCAAGUCAUCAUGCCCCUUAUGUCCAGGGCUUCACACAUGCUACAAUGGCCGGUACAAAGGGCUGCGAUGCCGUGAGGUGGAGCGAAUCCUUGUAAAGCCGGUCUCAGUUCGGAUCGGGGUCUGCAACUCGACCCCGUGAAGUCGGAGUCGCUAGUAAUCGCAGAUCAGCAACGCUGCGGUGAAUACGUUCCCGGGCCUUGUACACACCGCCCGUCACGUCAUGAAAGUCGGUAACACCCGAAGCCGGUGGCCUAACCCGUUAGGGAGGGAGCCGUCGAAUGGUGAUGGGCAGGGGCC
rnacentral:rRNA from 1 species